UCCUCUCCAUUAAUUCUCUGCCUUUGGAUGUUUUUCUUCUCUGACAACAGUUUCUGACAGCUGAAGGGUGGGGAGAGGAGAAAUUGCUUUCAUCUAGUCUUGGGACCUGAAGAACUCCUGACCCUGAGCCUGUAGGGGUGAAAAGGUAAUGAUACAGAUGCUCCUAUAUCAAAAGUUCCUGCGAGGACUGAGUAUUGAAAAGAGCCUGGCACCUUCCUCCCCUCUCUCUCUUGCUUGCCAUGUGACACACCGGCUCCCCUUCACCAUCCACCGUGAAUGGAAGCUUCUUAAGGUCCUCACCAGAAGCAGGUGUUGACUCCAUGC